rnacentral:lncRNA from 1 species
AGUGGAGAUAUUGAUGGACACAGAAGCAGUUUUGGCUGAUUAAAGUCUCUCAGCAAACACAUACCUGGGGCAGCAGAUCUUAUCUGACAGACUAAUCAAGCUGUCUGAGCAUCCUCAGCAGGGAGGUAAGUGGGCUGAGAGACACUGAGCUCUAUGGGCACGGGUGGCUCCAUGUUCAUCAAAC